rnacentral:rRNA from 1 species
UUUUGUGGAGGGUUCGAUUCUGGCUCAGGAUGAACGCUGGCGGCGUGCUUAACACAUGCAAGUCGAACGGGAUCCAUCAGGCUUUGCUUGGUGGUGAGAGUGGCGAACGGGUGAGUAAUGCGUGACCGACCUGCCCCAUACACCGGAAUAGCUCCUGGAAACGGGUGGUAAUGCCGGAUGCUCCGACUCCUCGCAUGGGGUGUCGGGAAAGAUUUCAUCGGUAUGGGAUGGGGUCGCGUCCUAUCAGGUAGUCGGCGGGGUAACGGCCCACCGAGCCUACGACGGGUAGCCGGCCUGAGAGGGCGACCGGCCACAUUGGGACUGAGAUACGGCCCAGACUCCUACGGGAGGCAGCAGUGGGGAAUAUUGCACAAUGGGCGCAAGCCUGAUGCAGCGACGCCGCGUGCGGGAUGACGGCCUUCGGGUUGUAAACCGCUUUUGAUCGGGAGCAAGCCUUCGGGUGAGUGUACCUUUCGAAUAAGCACCGGCUAACUACGUGCCAGCAGCCGCGGUAAUACGUAGGGUGCAAGCGUUAUCCGGAAUUAUUGGGCGUAAAGGGCUCGUAGGCGGUUCGUCGCGUCCGGUGUGAAAGUCCAUCGCUUAACGGUGGAUCUGCGCCGGGUACGGGCGGGCUGGAGUGCGGUAGGGGAGACUGGAAUUCCCGGUGUAACGGUGGAAUGUGUAGAUAUCGGGAAGAACACCAAUGGCGAAGGCAGGUCUCUGGGCCGUUACUGACGCUGAGGAGCGAAAGCGUGGGGAGCGAACAGGAUUAGAUACCCUGGUAGUCCACGCCGUAAACGGUGGAUGCUGGAUGUGGGGCCCGUUCCACGGGUUCCGUGUCGGAGCUAACGCGUUAAGCAUCCCGCCUGGGGAGUACGGCCGCAAGGCUAAAACUCAAAGAAAUUGACGGGGGCCCGCACAAGCGGCGGAGCAUGCGGAUUAAUUCGAUGCAACGCGAAGAACCUUACCUGGCUUGACAUGUUCCCGACAGCCGUAGAGAUAUGGCCUCCCUUCGGGGCGGGUUCACAGGUGGUGCAUGGUCGUCGUCAGCUCGUGUCGUGAGAUGUUGGGUUAAGUCCCGCAACGAGCGCAACCCUCGCCCUGUGUUGCCAGCACGUCAUGGUGGGAACUCACGGGGGACCGCCGGGGUCAACUCGGAGGAAGGUGGGGAUGACGUCAGAUCAUCAUGCCCCUUACGUCCAGGGCUUCACGCAUGCUACAAUGGCCGGUACAACGGGAUGCGACACGGCGACGUGGAGCGGAUCCCUGAAAACCGGUCUCAGUUCGGAUUGGAGUCUGCAACCCGACUCCAUGAAGGCGGAGUCGCUAGUAAUCGCGGAUCAGCAACGCCGCGGUGAAUGCGUUCCCGGGCCUUGUACACACCGCCCGUCAAGUCAUGAAAGUGGGUAGCACCCGAAGCCGGUGGCCUAACCCUUUGUGGAUGGAGCCGUCUAAGGUGAGACUCGUGAUUGGGACUAAGUCGUAACAAGGUAGCCGUACCGGAAGGUGCGGCUGGAUCACCUCCUUUCUACGGAG